AGAAAGAGAGAGAGAGAGAGAGAGAGAGAGACAGAGAGAAACAGAGGCAACUGGUUCGCGUGCAACGGGAACCGGUUCGGCUCUUUCAAAAAUCCGUACUUACGCCUGCGCGUGACAAAAUGGAAGGAGUUAAAGAGAGCGUUCGUCGCGACGCGCUGUGUAAACAAACUGCGAUCCAACGCGUGCGUUUUCACGGUAGGAUCGACGAUAAGUGAGCGAGGUUAGCCGAAUAAGUCGGACGAAAGG
rnacentral:misc_RNA from 1 species